CAUUUUUGUAAAUAAUUUAUGUUUUCAUGUGACAACACUGAAGAAAUGACACUCUGCUACAAUGUAAAGUAGUAAGUUUGGUAGACCUUACUGCCUCUGGAUUAAUAUUUGAGACUAUUUCGUCUGUUUGUUCGCCAAUCCCCAGUUGUUCGUGUGUUUCCUGGUUGCAUUCCCUAAUAGACGAACUAACUACUGAAUGGUGGGCCACCCAGCAGGGAAGUGUGCUGCUCGUUAACCUUUCUGACCUUAUUAACAUUGUGGUUAACCGCAACCACUUCCAACUCCCGAACGGUCGGCUGGGUGGUCGUCGUUCGAUGAACGAACACAUGGCGGCAGCCAUUUUAAACAGUUGAACGCCCAGCAGUGUUCGUUGUCAACCACAUCGAACUAAUUUCGUACAGUUUCCCACGCACACUGCUGAGAUCACCAACCAUCAAUCUAUUCGUUCCAGUUCAUACGAAGGCCGUGCCGUUAGGUAUAUUGACAAUCCACAAAUGGAACUGUCCCAGAUAGCUAGACCCAUGGAGCUCAUUCUUUCUGCCGAACGCACAGUGAACACACUUUAGCUCCAUGGCGAUUUGACUGUAUGUAUGCGAUCUGAGCGCUGUUCGCUUAUAUUGAGGGCUCAGAUCCAAGCUAUCUGAGGAUAUGUCGAACAUAGAGGUUCCGUUCGGUGAAAUAGGAAUUAUGCAUUUUUUACUAUUAUUGUAAAAUGGGAAUAUUUUCUAUCCCUGCA